GCCCGGUUGCGCGACAUUCGCGAGCGCGCCAUUCGCCUCGGACGAGUGCAUGACCGAGUUUUCGGGCAGGUGGUAGUCCGGCCCGACCGUCGUGCACC
rnacentral:tRNA from 1 species